rnacentral:rRNA from 1 species
GUGCCAGCGCCGCGGUAAUACCGGCAGCCCGAGUGAUGGCCGAUCUUAUUGGGCCUAAAGCGUCCGUAGCCGGCCCUGCAAGUUCAUCGGGAAAUCCACUCGCCCAGCGAGUGGGCGUCCGACGGAAACUGCACAGCUUGGGACCGGAAGGCUCGAAGGGUACGUUCGGGGUAGGAGUGAAAUCCUAUAAUCCCGCACGGACCACCGAUGGCGAAAGCACUUCGAGAAAACGGAUCCGACAGUGAGGGACGAAAGCCAGGGUCUCCAACCGGAUUAGAAACCCUAGUAGUCC